rnacentral:rRNA from 1 species
GGGUUGUGAGGUUAAGCGACUAAGCGUACACGGUGGAUGCCCUGGCAGUCAGAGGCGAUGAAGGACGUGCUAAUCUGCGAUAAGCGUCGGUAAGGUGAUAUGAACCGUUAUAACCGGCGAUUUCCGAAUGGGGAAACCCAGUGUGUUUCGACACACUAUCAUUAACUGAAUCCAUAGGUUAAUGAGGCGAACCGGGGGAACUGAAACAUCUAAGUACCCCGAGGAAAAGAAAUCAACCGAGAUUCCCCCAGUAGCGGCGAGCGAACGGGGAGCAGCCCAGAGCCUGAAUCAGUGUGUGUGUUAGUGGAAGCGUCUGGAAAGGCGCGCGAUACAGGGUGACAGCCCCGUACACAAAAAUGCACAUGCUGUGAGCUCGAUGAGUAGGGCGGGACACGUGGUAUCCUGUCUGAAUAUGGGGGGACCAUCCUCCAAGGCUAAAUACUCCUGACUGACCGAUAGUGAACCAGUACCGUGAGGGAAAGGCGAAAAGAACCCCGGCGAGGGGAGUGAAAAAGAACCUGAAACCGUGUACGUACAAGCAGUGGGAGCACAGAGCAAUCUGUGUGACUGCGUACCUUUUGUAUAAUGGGUCAGCGACUUAUAUUCUGUAGCAAGGUUAACCGAAUAGGGGAGCCGAAGGGAAACCGAGUCUUAACUGGGCGUUAAGUUGCAGGGUAUAGACCCGAAACCCGGUGAUCUAGCCAUGGGCAGGUUGAAGGUUGGGUAACACUAACUGGAGGACCGAACCGACUAAUGUUGAAAAAUUAGCGGAUGACUUGUGGCUGGGGGUGAAAGGCCAAUCAAACCGGGAGAUAGCUGGUUCUCCCCGAAAGCUAUUUAGGUAGCGCCUCGUGAAUUCAUCUCCGGGGGUAGAGCACUGUUUCGGCAAGGGGGUCAUCCCGACUUACCAACCCGAUGCAAACUACGAAUACCGGAGAAUGUUAUCACGGGAGACACACGGCGGGUGCUAACGUCCGUCGUGAAGAGGGAAACAACCCAGACCGCCAGCUAAGGUCCCAAAGUCAUGGUUAAGUGGGAAACGAUGUGGGAAGGCCCAGACAGCCAGGAUGUUGGCUUAGAAGCAGCCAUCAUUUAAAGAAAGCGUAAUAGCUCACUGGUCGAGUCGGCCUGCGCGGAAGAUGUAACGGGGCUAAACCAUGCACCGAAGCUGCGGCAGCGACACUAUGUGUUGUUGGGUAGGGGAGCGUUCUGUAAGCCUGUGAAGGUGUACUGUGAGGUAUGCUGGAGGUAUCAGAAGUGCGAAUGCUGACAUAAGUAACGAUAAAGCGGGUGAAAAGCCCGCUCGCCGGAAGACCAAGGGUUCCUGUCCAACGUUAAUCGGGGCAGGGUGAGUCGACCCCUAAGGCGAGGCCGAAAGGCGUAGUCGAUGGGAAACAGGUUAAUAUUCCUGUACUUGGUGUUACUGCGAAGGGGGGACGGAGAAGGCUAUGUUGGCCGGGCGACGGUUGUCCCGGUUUAAGCGUGUAGGCUGGUUUUCCAGGCAAAUCCGGAAAAUCAAGGCUGAGGCGUGAUGACGAGGCACUACGGUGCUGAAGCAACAAAUGCCCUGCUUCCAGGAAAAGCCUCUAAGCAUCAGGUAACAUCAAAUCGUACCCCAAACCGACACAGGUGGUCAGGUAGAGAAUACCAAGGCGCUUGAGAGAACUCGGGUGAAGGAACUAGGCAAAAUGGUGCCGUAACUUCGGGAGAAGGCACGCUGAUAUGUAGGUGAAGUCCCUCGCGGAUGGAGCUGAAAUCAGUCGAAGAUACCAGCUGGCUGCAACUGUUUAUUAAAAACACAGCACUGUGCAAACACGAAAGUGGACGUAUACGGUGUGACGCCUGCCCGGUGCCGGAAGGUUAAUUGAUGGGGUCAGCGCAAGCGAAGCUCUUGAUCGAAGCCCCGGUAAACGGCGGCCGUAACUAUAACGGUCCUAAGGUAGCGAAAUUCCUUGUCGGGUAAGUUCCGACCUGCACGAAUGGCGUAAUGAUGGCCAGGCUGUCUCCACCCGAGACUCAGUGAAAUUGAACUCGCUGUGAAGAUGCAGUGUACCCGCGGCAAGACGGAAAGACCCCGUGAACCUUUACUAUAGCUUGACACUGAACAUUGAGCCUUGAUGUGUAGGAUAGGUGGGAGGCUUUGAAGUGUGGACGCCAGUCUGCAUGGAGCCGACCUUGAAAUACCACCCUUUAAUGUUUGAUGUUCUAACGUUGACCCGUGAUCCGGGUUGCGGACAGUGUCUGGUGGGUAGUUUGACUGGGGCGGUCUCCUCCUAAAGAGUAACGGAGGAGCACGAAGGUUGGCUAAUCCUGGUCGGACAUCAGGAGGUUAGUGCAAUGGCAUAAGCCAGCUUGACUGCGAGCGUGACGGCGCGAGCAGGUGCGAAAGCAGGUCAUAGUGAUCCGGUGGUUCUGAAUGGAAGGGCCAUCGCUCAACGGAUAAAAGGUACUCCGGGGAUAACAGGCUGAUACCGCCCAAGAGUUCAUAUCGACGGCGGUGUUUGGCACCUCGAUGUCGGCUCAUCACAUCCUGGGGCUGAAGUAGGUCCCAAGGGUAUGGCUGUUCGCCAUUUAAAGUGGUACGCGAGCUGGGUUUAGAACGUCGUGAGACAGUUCGGUCCCUAUCUGCCGUGGGCGCUGGAGAACUGAGGGGGGCUGCUCCUAGUACGAGAGGACCGGAGUGGACGCAUCACUGGUGUUCGGGUUGUCAUGCCAAUGGCACUGCCCGGUAGCUAAAUGCGGAAGAGAUAAGUGCUGAAAGCAUCUAAGCACGAAACUUGCCCCGAGAUGAGUUCUCCCUGACCCUUUAAGGGUCCUGAAGGAACGUUGAAGACGACGACGUUGAUAGGCCGGGUGUGUAAGCGCAGCGAUGCGUUGAGCUAACCGGUACUAAUGAACCGUGAGGCUUAACCUUACAACGCCGAAG